GCCAAUGAAGACAGUCAGACCUGGGUCACAGGGCCCACAAGGAGAGGUGAAGAGUGGGGUUGGGUUAACCAGGUGGAGAAGGAUUUGAAGGAAGAUUUAAUUGCAGCUGCAUCUAUUUGAAAGCUGUUACAAAGAAGAUUGAACUAAGACUCUGCAGGCAUUUUCUGAUGCUCACAUCAUUGGAUGUAGUAAGAUAACAGCUGAGAAGAAAAGAUGAUGUCUCUUCAUAUAUGCAUCUUUUGAAGACCUGUGGCAAAAGCUGCAAGUUGAAGGCUCUUUGUUGGAUGCCAGACAAAGCUCCUUUCCCAGAAGAGUGGCGCAGCACUGGGACAGGCCACCAGGCAGGUGGGGGAUUUCCAUUUGGGAUUUCUGAGACUCAUCUAGACAAAGCUGUUGUUGCUGUGAUCUUAUGCUGGGGACAGCUCUGCUGUGAGAGUAAGGUUGGACCCCAGAGACACCAGAGGUUCGUUCCUCCAGCCCCUCCAAGACACUGUCUCUAAAUAACCGGGUGAUGUGGAAGACGAGGGGACAGCAGUGCAAAGAUCCACUUCGCUUUCUGGAUGGUUUUCUGCUGAAGCUUUCUUCUGCUAAUCCUUAACCCUGGGCAACCUGAGAAAUGGGUGCAUGGCAGGACACAUUUUCUGGCGUGGUGUCAUCAUUGCUGUAUGCACAGAAAGAAAAACUUCCAAGGUCCUUUUAGAUCUUUAGACUUCCACAGUCCUUUAGACCCUCCAGGGUCCCCCAGUAGCACACUCCAGGAAAACCGAACUGCUUGGCAGUGUACUUGAUGUCCUGUGAGCCCAGCGUCAGCUCAGUCUUUGUUCUCCCCAUCCCGUUCCAGACUUUCAUCAUGCUAUGAUACCUGGGAACAUAUGGGAAUCUUCACUACAGAUGUCUCUGAAAAGAUCUGAAAUGUUAAAGUUUUUAUCAUGUUCUGCUACUAAAAAGUGUGUUAGAAAGGAGUUGCAAAUCC